rnacentral:rRNA from 1 species
UACGUAGGGUCCGAGCGUUUGUCCGGAAUUAUUGGGCGUAAAGGGCUCGUAGGCGGUUUGUCGCGUCGGGAGUGAAAACAUCUGGCUUAACUGGGUGCUUGCUUUCGAUACGGGCAGACUGGAGGUAUGCAGGGGGAGAACGGAAUUCCUGGUGUAGCGGUGAAAUGCGCAGAUAUCAGGAGGAACACCGGUGGCGAAGGCGGUUCUCUGGGCAUUACCUGACGCUGAGGAGCGAAAGUGUGGGGAGCGAACAGG